rnacentral:lncRNA from 1 species
CUGGUUUUCUCUCUUGCUGUGGCCUCUGCUUCCAAUGUCUAGCAUAGUGGAUAAGUGGACCGCUCAAUAUGCCAAGCUUCGUGAGAAGAGCCGGGCCGCCUUCUCCGGUGGCGGUUCCAGCCCGGUAGCGGAACCAGAGCAGACCUCCUCCGCUCCUCGUGGGUUCCCGGUGCUGAGCCAGGCCCCGCGGAUCAAGUCCCAACCGUCGCCUUCGCUUUUCUCAGAAGCUGCACUCGCCAUGCUU